rnacentral:lncRNA from 1 species
GAAGAGUGACAGCUAUUGUUUGGAAAGGUUUAUGAGCAGGAUCAGCCAGACCCACUGAGUAGAUUGUGUUUUGGGCUCAUGAGGAAAAGUCCACCUGACUCUCCCAAAGAAGCCAACUAGAGCGACAUGAGAAGAGACAAUGGAAGCUGAUAUCCAGCUCAUGAGACUUAUCCAGGAAAUGCGGGCAGAGAUCCACAAACUGGAGAAAGAGAAUCAAGCCCUCCGGAUGAAACUCACUGCAAGUAGUCAGAGAGCCUCAGGCUCAGGGAGAGAAUCAGGAGACAAAAGGGAGGAGGAAGCGCCAGGACAAUCUCCAGCAACCCUUCAGGGUGCCGUUUCCACUGAUGCAGCACCAGCAGCGCAGGAACACCAAGGCAAUGUCAUGAUUGUUAGAUGCUAUUCCAUUUCAUCAUCAGUUUGCUCAUCUGCUGUAAAUGAUCCCUGGAAAUCUGGGAAAAGUCACCCAAAGAGCGGAAUUCUAGAAGCUCAGAGAACACUGAAGUCACUGGCAUGUUCUCCAAUUAAGAAGCAAG